AUACGUAGGGGGCGAGCGUUGUCCGGAAUGAUUGGGCGUAAAGGGCGCGUAGGCGGCGCGGUAAGUCUGGAGUGAAAGUCCUGCUUUCAAGGUGGGAAUUGCUUUGGAUACUGCCGCGCUUGAGUGCAGGAGAGGUUAUCGGAAUUCCCGGUGUAGCGGUGAAAUGCGUAGAGAUCGGGAGGAACACCAGUGGCGAAGGCGGGUAACUGGACUGCAACUGGCGCUGAGGCGCGAAAGUGUGGGGAGCAAACAGGAUUAGAUACCCUGGUAGUCCACACUGUAAACGAUGAAUGCUAGGUGUAAGAGGUAUCGACCCCUUUUGUGCCGGAGUCAACACAAUAAGCAUUCCGCCUGGGGAGUACGGCCGCAAGGUUGAAACUCAAAUGAAUUGACGGGG
rnacentral:rRNA from 1 species